rnacentral:rRNA from 1 species
UACGUAGGGGGCAAGCGUUGUCCGGAUUUAUUGGGCGUAAAGAGCGUGUAGGCGGCUAGAUAGGUCCGUUGUGAAAACUCGAGGCUCAACCUCGAGACGUCGAUGGAAACCAUCUGGCUAGAGUCCGGAAGAGGAGAGUGGAAUUCUCGGUGUAGCGGUGAAAUGCGUAGAUAUCGAGAGGAACACCUGCGGCGAAGGCGGGUUGCUGGGCUGACACUGACGCUGAAGUGCGAAAGCUAGGGGAGCGAACGGG